rnacentral:rRNA from 1 species
GAUGAACGCUGGCGGCGUGCCUAAUACAUGCAAGUCGAGCGAACGGACGAGAAGCUUGCUCCUCUGAGGUUAGCGGCGGACGGGUGAGUAACACGUGGAUAACCUACCUAUAAGACUGGGAUAACUUCGGGAACCCGGAGCUAAUACCGGAUAAUAUUUUGAACCGCAUGGUUCAAAAGUGAAAGACGGUCUUGCUGUCACUAAUAGAUGGAUCCGCGCGGCAUUAGCUAGUUGGUAAGGUAACGGCUUACCAAGGCAACGAUGCAUAGCCGACCCGAGAGGGUGAUCGGCCACACUGGAACUGAGACACGGUCCAGACUCCUACGGGAGGCAGCAGUAGGGAAUAUUCCGCAAUGGGCGAAAGCCUGACGGAGCAACGCCGCGUGAGUGAUGAAGGUCUUCGGAUCGUAAAACUCUGUUAUUAGGGAAGAACAUAUGUGUAAGUAACUGUGCACGUCUAGACGGUACCUAAUCAGAAAGCCACGGCUAACUACGUG